rnacentral:rRNA from 1 species
AACGUAGGGUGCAAGCGUUGUCCGGAAUUACUGGGUGUAAAGGGAGCGCAGGCGGACCGGCAAGUUGGAAGUGAAAACUAUGGGCUCAACCCAUAAAUUGCUUUCAAAACUGCUGGCCUUGAGUAGUGCAGAGGUAGGUGGAAUUCCCGGUGUAGCGGUGGAAUGCGUAGAUAUCGGGAGGAACACCAGUGGCGAAGGCGACCUACUGGGCACCAACUGACGCUGAGGCUCGAAAGCAUGGGUAGCAAACAGGAUUAGAUACCCGUGUAUGACUGACU